rnacentral:rRNA from 1 species
AUUGAACGCUGGCGGCAUGCCUUACACAUGCAAGUCGAACGGUAACGCGGGGCAACCUGGCGACGAGUGGCGAACGGGUGAGUAAUGCAUCGGAACGUGCCCAGUCGUGGGGGAUAACGCAGCGAAAGCUGCGCUAAUACCGCAUACGAUCUAUGGAUGAAAGCGGGGGACCGAAAGGCCUCGCGCGAUUGGAGCGGCCGAUGUCAGAUUAGGUAGUUGGUGGGGUAAAGGCCCACCAAGCCAACGAUCUGUAGCUGGUCUGAGAGGACGACCAGCCACACUGGGACUGAGACACGGCCCAGACUCCUACGGGAGGCAGCAGUGGGGAAUUUUGGACAAUGGGCGCAAGCCUGAUCCAGCAAUGCCGCGUGCAGGAAGAAGGCCUUCGGGUUGUAAACUGCUUUUGUACGGAACGAAACGGUCCGGGUUAAUACCCUGGGCUAAUGACGGUACCGUAAGAAUAAGCACCGGCUAACUACGUGCCAGCCGCCGCAGUAAGAC